CCUACGGGAGGCAGCAGUGAGGAAUAUUGGUCAAUGGGCGUAAGCCUGAACCAGCCAAGUAGCGUGAGGGAUGACUGCCCUCUGGGUUUUAAACUUCUUUUAUACGGGGAUAAAGUGCCCCACGUGUGGAUGUUUGUAUGUACCGUAUGAAUAAGCAUCGGCUAAUUCCGUGCCAGCAGCCGCGGUAAUACGGAAGGUCCGGGCGUUAUCCGGAUUUAUUGGGUUUAACGGGAGCGUAGGCCGGUCGUUAAGUCUGCGGUGAAAUUUUGGGGCUCAACCAGGAGAGUGCGGAGGGAACUGGAGAACUUGAGUGUGCGGAAGGCAGGUGGAAUUCGUGGUGUAGCGGUGAAAUGCUUAGAUAUCACGAAGAACACCGAUUGCGAAGGC
rnacentral:rRNA from 1 species